rfam:Nicotiana attenuata strain TT chromosome 1, whole genome shotgun sequence.
UGGACAGAUUAUUGUAUUCGACUGUAUUCACGGCGUGAAACAGGGGAAUAUACUGUUUCUAAAACGGAAAGUGAAUCAAUUAACAUAAUAGACUCCU